AAUUUUAAACAAUCUACUAGAUAACCAAGUGCAGAGAGGGUGAUACCUCGCUUGGAUUGUGUAUAUAAUUCCCGUUGCGCUUGUUGUGAGAUAUUGCAGGAAGAUAAGCAACUCUCUUCCGGGCGAUCGGAAGAGGUCAUGACGUGAAAGAAGAUUGAGGGUGUACAUAGUAUGGAGAUUGUGCGUAGUUAGAUCAUUAUCAGACGGUGGCGGUGACAAUAGACGCUCUCUGUGAGAGAAUAAUCUGGCUAGGUCUUAUGUAGCAGUAAGAGCCAAACCAGAAAUGCUAAAAUAAACCGUUUUGCACUUGAGGCCGAGCAAUCGGCCAAUAACACCAAAGAUAAGUACAAGUAGCCCAAAUGUGCAGAUGAACGAUACUGAUAUUGUUAUGCUAAAACAAAUAUUCUGAAUGUCGGGUGAAAGUUGGACGUAACCAGUCGUGCCUAGCCAUUGAACCGCUACGGAAGUUAUAGGGUCGCUCCUUAUGGCUCAGACCGUGGUAGGCUAUCGGUCAAUAAGUUGCGUACAAUCGAAGUAGAGCGAAGGCUCAUUUGAUAGAUUGUUUAAAG
rnacentral:sRNA from 12 species